ACAUGAACACACAUCCUUGGUGAAGAGGGUAAGCCAUUAUCGACCUUUGUUUCCCUGAGGUUCUGAGACUCUUAGAGCUAGAAAAGGCCUGAAAGUUCCCCAAACGUCAGCAUGCAUCAGAAUCACCCAGAGAGCUUGUUCCAUGCAGACUGCUGGCCCCGCUUCUGGAGUUUCUGAUUCGGCACUGGUAUUUUUUCAGAGUUUCUUCCCCAACCCAAAUGAUUCAGAGGGACACUGAUCCAGCGUCUCCACCAGGCCAGCAUGGUUCACUUGAGGGAGUGGAUGCUGCCAUAUGGGGUCUCUCACAAUCAUCUGCUGAGCCUUUUCAACUUUCCCGCAGUGGCUCUGUUCCGGAAGCUGGAAGUCUGAGGUCAGGGUGCCCGCACGAUCUGUUU